GCAAGUCGAGGGGUAUUAGUUUUCGGACUAAGAGACCGGCGCACGGGUGCGUAACGCGUAUGCAAUCUACCUUUCACAAAGGGAUAGCCCAGAGAAAUUUGGAUUAAUACCUUAUAGUAUAACGACUUCGCAUGGAGAUGUUAUUAAAGAUUUAUCGGUGAAAGAUGAGCAUGCGUCCCAUUAGCUAGUUGGUAAGGUAACGGCUUACCAAGGCUACGAUGGGUAGGGGUCCUGAGAGGGAGAUCCCCCACACUGGUACUGAGACACGGACCAGACUCCUACGGGAGGCAGCAGUGAGGAAUAUUGGUCAAUGGGCGCAAGCCUGAACCAGCCAUGCCGCGUGCAGGAUGACGGUCCUAUGGAUUGUAAACUGCUUUUGUACAGGAAGAAACACUCCCUCGUGAGGGAGCUUGACGGUACUGUAAGAAUAAGGAUCGGCUAACUCCGUGCCAGCAGCCGCGGUAAUACGGAGGAUCCAAGCGUUAUCCGGAAUCAUUGGGUUUAAAGGGUCCGUAGGCGGCUUAAUAAGUCAGUGGUGAAAGCCCUACGCUUAACGUAGGAACGGCCAUUGAUACUGUUAGGCUUGAAUUAUUAGGAAGUAACUAGAAUAUGUAGUGUAGCGGUGAAAUGCUUAGAGAUUACAUGGAAUACCAAUUGCGAAGGCAGGUUACUACUAAUGGAUUGACGCUGAUGGACGAAAGCGUGGGUAGCGAACAGGAUUAGAUACCCUGGUAGUCCACGCCGUAAACGAUGGAUACUAGCUGUUGGGAGCAAUCUCAGUGGCUAAGCGAAAGUGAUAAGUAUCCCACCUGGGGAGUACGAACGCAAGUUUGAAACUCAAAGGAAUUGACGGGGGCCCCGCACAG
rnacentral:rRNA from 1 species